GUUGAAUUAAUUUAAUUAAUUAAUAUAUUUUUCUGUAAAAAAAAUAAGAAAAGUACGAUUUUUUUUUUCAAUC
rnacentral:tRNA from 1 species